GUAGGUGGCAAGCGUUGUCCGGAGUUAUUGGGGCGUAAAGCGCGCGCAGGCGGUUCUUUAAGUCUGAUGUGAAAGCCCACGGGCUCAACCGUGGAGGGUCAUUGGAAACUGGAGAACUUGAGUACAGAAGAGGAAAGCGGAAUUCCACGUGUAGCGGUGAAAUGCGUAGAGAUGUGGAGGAACACCAGUGGCGAAGGCGGCUUUCUGGUCUGUAACUGACGCUGAGGCGCGAAAGCGUGGGGAGCAAACAGGAUUAGAUACCCUGGUAGUCCACGCCGUAAACGAUGAGUGCUAAGUGUUAGGGGGUUUCCGCCCCUUAGUGCUGCAGCUAACGCAUUAAGCACUCCGCCUGGGGAGUACGGCCGCAAAGGCUG
rnacentral:rRNA from 1 species